AUCGAACGCUGGCGGCAUGCUUUACACAUGCAAGUCGAACGGUAACAGGCCGCAAGGUGCUGACGAGUGGCGAACGGGUGAGUAAUGUAUCGGAACGUGCCCAGUCGUGGGGGAUAACGCAGCGAAAGUUGCGCUAAUACCGCAUACGAUCUAUGGAUGAAAGCGGGGGACCGUAAGGCCUCGCGCGAUUGGAGCGGCCGAUGUCAGAUUAGGUAGUUGGUGGGGUAAAGGCUCACCAAGCCGACGAUCUGUAGCUGGUCUGAGAGGACGACCAGCCACACUGGGACUGAGACACGGCCCAGACUCCUACGGGAGGCAGCAGUGGGGAAUUUUGGACAAUGGGCGCAAGCCUGAUCCAGCAAUGCCGCGUGCAGGAAGAAGGCCUUCGGGUUGUAAACUGCUUUUGUACGGAACGAAACGGUCCUGGUUAAUACCCGGGGCUAAUGACGGUACCGUAAGAAUAAGCACCGGCUAACUACGUGCCAGCCGCCGCCGUAACAC
rnacentral:rRNA from 1 species